rnacentral:rRNA from 1 species
UACGGGGGGGGGGCAAGCGUUGUUCGGAAUUACUGGGCGUAAAGGGUUCGUAGGUGGCCUGCUAAGUCAGACGUGAAAUCCCUCAGCUUAACUGGGGAACUGCGUCUGAGACUGGUGGGCUUGAGUGCAGGAGAGGAACGCGGAAUUCCAGGUGUAGCGGUGAAAUGCGUAGAUAUCUGGAGGAACACCGGUGGCGAAGGCGGCGUUCUGGACUGCUACUGACACUGAGGAACGAAAGCCAGGGGAGCAAACGGG